CCCCACCCAAGCCUCAAAAUCCCUAAGGGAACAAUACGGAGCAGGAAGGCCCAGUGCAGAGCUGAGGUGUCACUGUCUGUAGGUUAUAAAGUGAACUUCACCUCCAUCAGGGUCUCUGGGAACCUUUGCAAGAACUGCUUCCCCCAGCCGCUGACGAUGACCAUGGCUCCUGGAGGAGAGAAGAUACUGUGAGAACAGAGAAGCUAUCUGUGGGGUGUUUGGAGGGGUGCAGCUUGCAGCUCCAUCAUCCUCUUCUGUGGAGGAAAGACUGGAUUGUUCUUCUCAGAGAAAGGUGGUGUGGUGGGGAGGAAGACGUGAAAGGCAGCUGGGCUACAGAUUACCUGCAGCAGAGCUAGGGGCACUGGUUUCUAUGAUGUGUUACUGGCUUACUUGUUUAGUUUUCUAUUCUGUCCCACCCUCAACUAGUCUGAAACCUAGGGUCCAUGAGAGCAGAAUCUCAUUCUUGGUCACUGCUAUAUCACAGUGCCUAUAGCAAUGCUGUCACAUAGUAGGUGCUCAAUCAAGAACAGCGAAUAAAUAAAAAGCCCAGCCUAGUCCACUAUGUGCUAUGGUGCCUUUAGCCAGCCCUCCUCUCUGCUCCCCUUCUAAGCCUCUGUUUUCCUAUCCAUAAAAUGAGGAGGCUGGACUUGGUAUUCUCUAAAACCCCUUUCAGAGUUGACAUUCUAGAAGUCUAUGAAGUUGGUAAAUCUGUGGGGCAAUGUGGAAGUGGGUUGAGCACUGACAGAGCAAUUAUUUUCUCAUUUGAAAAAGAGCCUGGAUACUGAAAACAGUGUUGGGCUUAAAGUCAGAAAACCUGUACUAUAUCCCUAGAUCUGCUUCAUACAAGCUGCAUCUCGGGUGAGUCACCUCACCCUGCUGAUCCUUAGUUUUCUCGUUUGUAAAUGAGGCUACAGUGCCACCUUGCAAGGCUUGCAUGGUUCGUAAAUAAGUUAAUGAACAUAAAGCACCUGGUGGGCACAUGGCACCCAAUGAGUCAAAGCCAGCUACACCUGUGCCUUUCCUGUUGGCUCAGUUCCCCUAAAUACUCCUCAGAUUACAUCUCAGCCAUUUUUCUUUUGAGCUAAAGGAAGUGAACUUGAUGUGGCACCACUGAAAUUAGAAUGAAAAGGAAGCCAGCUGACAUGGGUCACCUAUGUUUAAGUAUUAUCUCAAACACGGAAAUGCCACAGCCACCACAUGGGAUAGCAUCUCCAGUUUAGAGGUCUGACUGUUUACUAUGUGCUUCCCACAACUUUUGCUGCCUUGGACCCAGUUCUGACUUGGCUGUUUGAGGGGAAGCAGUUGGUGAGUCAAGCAGACACUGUCAGCUGACUUAAUUGGCACCAGAGCUUCACCAACGUGAAGACGGACUCCUUGUGGAGGCACCAGCUGCCCUGCAGAGGUGGAGGAACUGAUGCUGUUGCCUUGUAAUGCUUGUUCUGAUGCCUGCUGCCACAUGUUCAAUCCCUAUCAUCACCUUCAGUGCCUGUGUCAAACAUGACCUCCUCCAGGUAGCCUCUCAGACUCUUGGGUUAGAAGUCUUUCCCCUCUGAACUCCCAUGGCAUUUUAUCUGUUCUUCUUCUACAAAACUUACUGCUGGCUACUUUCCGUUAGAGGUCUCUGUGCUCACAUCUUAUUCCUUUAUUAGACUGUAAGCUCCCUGUGGGCAGAAACUAGGUCUUAAUCAUACUGUGUCCUUAGAUCCUGGCAUAAUGUCAGUAGGUAAAUAUGUGUGGACCUGAAUUGAAUCAGCUGGUCAUCUGAUUUUAUAAACAAGAGGGGAAAUCUGGAUCGUAUAUGUAUGAUCUAUUUGAAACCACAGGUUCAUGGAAAUCUAACAGGUCUUUGGAAAUUAUCUAGAGGCCUCCUCAUUUUAUCGUUGUGAAACUGAAGCAUAGACUUCAAUGCCUUCUCAUGGUCACGUGUCUGGAGAAUCAUAUCUUGCACUUGGACUCAGGUUCCUGGACCUCCAUCCCAGGUGUCCUGCCCUGACAAAUGAGUGAGCGAGUGAGUGAGCAGACACGCCUUGGAAAGGGCCAGUAGGUCAUUCCCAGAACCACAGCUGGCUUUGGGAGUCAGCUUGCCCCUCACUCACUCACCCAGGAUGAUUUUGAAGUCAGAAGGGCUGAGCAAGUCUGAAUCACGUAGGGUCGGAUCUUCCGGAUCGAGUGACUGGUGGAGGCAGUGUGCGGCGGUCACGAUCCAGCUGGAGCCUGGGGAACAGAACACACGUCUCAUCGUCCUGCACUACUGGGUCUUGCCUCCCUCUGUCUUGAGCUGAGGAUCUUCAGGCUACUCCAGAGGACCCCUCAAGACCUUGAAAAUGGCCAUGCUUCUCUCCAUUGUAUUUUAUGGCCCCCAACUCAAAUGCUCAUAUGAUCCUAAUCUGAAGAUGAGGAUUUAAAUCUGUGAUUUUUACCUGCCUAUUCCAACCAAGGCCAGGACUGAACAUUGUAAACAGGAUUUCAGGGAUCCUUUAAGCCCAUGGCAUUGGUGAGAGCCAGAGAGCCCAAGGUGGGUGCACAGAAAGCCUGUGGUCAACUGGCUGCCUUCUCAGGCCUUGCUUCUCAAAGUGUGGUGCCUGGACCAGCAACAUUAGCAUCACUUGGAGGCUUCUUAGAAAUGAAGACUCUUAGGCCGGCCCCACCUCUGAUCCACUGAAUCAGAAUUUUCAUUUUAACAAGACUCUCCAGUAAUUUGUAUGCAUAUUAAAGUUUAAAAUUGAUGAAUCCGAAGC